rnacentral:rRNA from 1 species
CCCUUAGAUGUUCUGGGCUGCACGCGCGCUACACUGACGGAGCCAGCGAGCCAUGUCCUUCGCCGGAAGGUGCGGGUAAUCUUGCUAACCUCCGUCGUGCUGGGGAUAGAUGGUUGCAAUUAUUGAUCUUCAACGAGGAAUUCCUAGUAAGCGCAAGUCAUCAGCUUGCGUUGAUUACGUCCCUGCCCUUUGUACACACCGCCCGUCGCUACUACCGAUUGAAUGGUUUAGUGAGGUAUUUGGACUGGACCUUCGGAGGUUCGCGCCUCCGUUGCUGUUCGGGAAGACUCCCAAACUUGAGCGUUUAGAGGAAGUAAAAGUCGUAACA